rnacentral:lncRNA from 9 species
CUCAGCCUCUCUCCUGAGUCAGUGUUUUCCAUCCCUAAACAGAGAUUUUGCCACUCUGGCUUCUGAUUGGCCCGGUGUAGGCGCGCGCUCUGCGCCAUUGGCCCUCCUACCUGUCUCGCUAGGAGUGGCCAUCUUGAAUCCCGUCCCUGCCGCGGGGCUGCCUGGGAAUUGUAGUCCUUGUUGCGCUCUGUCCCGCGUCAGGACUUUUUGCCCUCUGCUCCCGAGCCCCUCAGGCAGCCACCCCCGUGGGCACACGCCCAGGAGCUGUUCCUGCCCCGCGCUCCCUCCCUCCACCUUUCACUUCCCAGCCGCAAACAUCUCGGAAGCUUUGAAACUCAGCAAAGAAGGGAAAUCCACUGAGAACAGUCUGUUAAGAUUCUACUCCGCUCUGUAG